GCUGUUUCUAGAAUAGUUCAGCUGGUAGAGCAAAAGACUCUUAAUUUCAGGGUCAUGGGUUCAAGCCCCACAUAGGGCA